rnacentral:rRNA from 1 species
UAGGGCCUACGGGGGGCAGCAGUGAGGGAUAUUGGUCAAUGGGCGAGAGCCUGAACCAGCCAAGUCGCGUGAGGGAAGACGGUCCUAUGGAUUGUAAACCUCUUUUGUCGGGGAGCAAAAAGGCCUCGUGAGGCCACAAGUGAGAGUACCCGAAGAAAAAGCAUCGGCUAACUCCGUGCCAGCAGCCGCGGUAAUACGGAGGAUGCGAGCGUUAUCCGGCUUUAUUGGUUUUAAAGGGUGCGUAGGCGGACUGGCAUGUCAG